rnacentral:misc_RNA from 1 species
UGAAAACAAGGUAAUUUGUUCUCAUAUUACAAUACCAGGAAAAAAUAGAUCAAAAAGGUUCAUGGAGGUAACAUGAGUAUGCCUAUCAAAGUUGCAGUACUAAUCAGUGUAAGAUACUUUGGCAAGGUAAUCACAUUCACUAUGCAUUAUAAAAAGAUACCAACCGCAUGGAUAUUUAGCCUUACUAUAGUUGUUAAAUUUUGAAAUUACUUUAGUCACAAUGAUGAGGACCAUGUAAUAGUAAAAUGAAAGAAACUAAACUCAAUAAAC